CUUAAUUAGUUAAUAAUAAUAUUAACUUGUCAAGUUAAAGUUAAAUAAA
rnacentral:tRNA from 1 species